rnacentral:rRNA from 1 species
UCCUUAUUUGGCGAGCGUUGUCCGGAGUUACUGGGCGUAAAGCGCUUGUAGGCGGUCCACCAAGUUUGGGGUGACAGUUGCCGACUUAAUCGGCAAAGUGCCUCAAAGACUGGCGGACUUGAGGGCCACAGAGGGACAUGGAACUCCAGGUGUAGUGGUGAAAUGCGUAGAUAUCUGGAAGAACACCAAAGGCGAAGGCAGUGUCCUGGGUGGUCGCUGACGCUGAGAGGCGAAAGCCAGGGGAGCGAACGGG